rnacentral:rRNA from 1 species
AUUUUUGACAAUGGGGGAAACCCUGAUCCAGCCACCCCGCGUGUACGAUGAAGGCCUUCGGGUUGUAAAGCACUUUUGUCAGGGAAGAAAAGGUUCUGGCUAAUACCCGGAACUGAGGACGGUAUCUGUAGAAGAAGCACCGGCUAACUACUUGCCAGCAGCCGCGGUAUUACGUAGGGGUCAAGCGUUAAGCGGAAUUAUUGGGCGUAAAGCGUGCGCAGGCGGUUCGGAAAGAAGGAUGUGAAAUCACAGGGCUCAACCUUGGAACUGCAUUCUUAACUACCGGACUAGAGUAUGUCAGAGGGGGGUAGAAUUCCGCGUGUAGCAGUGAAAUGCGUAGAUAUGCGGAGGAAUACCGAUGGCGAAGGCAGCCCCCUGGGAUAAUACUGACGCUCAUGCACGAAAGCGUGGGUAGCAAACAGG